rnacentral:rRNA from 1 species
GAUGAACGCUGGCGGCGUGCCUAAUACAUGCAAGUCGAGCGAACAGACGAGGAGCUUGCUCCUCUGACGUUAGCGGCGGACGGGUGAGUAACACGUGGAUAACCUACCUAUAAGACUGGGAUAACUUCGGGAAACCGGAGCUAAUACCGGAUAAUAUAUUGAACCGCAUGGUUCAAUAGUGAAAGACGGUUUUGCUGUCACUUAUAGAUGGAUCCGCGCCGCAUUAGCUAGUUGGUAAGGUAACGGCUUACCAAGGCAACGAUGCGUAGCCGACCUGAGAGGGUGAUCGGCCACACUGGAACUGAGACACGGUCCAGACUCCUACGGGAGGCAGCAGUAGGGAAUCUUCCGCAGUGGGCGAGAGCCUGACGGAGCAACGCCGCGUGAGUGAUGAAGGUCUUCGGAUCGUAAAACUCUGUUAUUAGGGAAGAACAAAUGUGUAAGUAACUAUGCACGUCUUGACGGUACCUAAUCAGAAAGCCACGGCUAACUACGUG